rnacentral:tRNA from 1 species
GCGCCCGUAGCCCAGAGGAUAAGGCGUCAGCCUCCGAAGCUGAAGAUCGCUGGUUCGAUUCCAGCCGGGCGUACCA